GUGAAAUCUCCUGGCUUAACUGGGAGAGGUCGUCUAAAACUACGAGUCUGGAGUGUGAGAGAGGGAGGCAGAAUUCCGAGUGUAGUGGUGAAAUGCGUAGAUAUUCGGAGGAAUACCAGAGGCGAAGGCGGCCUCCUGGCUCACAACUGACGCUGAGACGCGAAAGCUAGGGUAGCAAACGGGAUUAGAGACCCCGGUAGUCCUAGCUGUAAACGAUGCAGACUGGGCGUUGGCGACGUAAAAGUCNUCAGUGUCGAAGCAAACGCGAUAAGUCUGCCGCCUGGGGAUUACGGCCGCAAGGCUAAAACUC
rnacentral:rRNA from 1 species